rnacentral:rRNA from 1 species
GUCUACGGCCAUGCCACCCUGAGCGUGCCUGAUCUUGUCUGAUCUUGGAAGCUAAGCAGGGUCGGGCCUGGUUAGGACUUGGAUGGGAGACCACCUAGGAAGACCAGUUGCUGUAGGCG